rnacentral:rRNA from 1 species
AUGAACGCUGGCGGCGUGCUUAACACAUGCAAGUCGAACGAUGAAGCCCAGCUUGCUGGGUGGAUUAGUGGCGAACGGGUGAGUAACACGUGAGUAACCUGCCCUUAACUCUGGGAUAAGCCUGGGAAACUGGGUCUAAUACCGGAUAGGAGCGUCCACCGCAUGGUGGGUGUUGGAAAGAUUUAUCGGUUUUGGAUGGACUCGCGGCCUAUCAGCUUGUUGGUGAGGUAAUGGCCCACCAAGGCGACGACGGGUAGCCGGCCUGAGAGGGUGACCGGCCACACUGGGACUGAGACACGGCCCAGACUCCUACGGGAGGCAGCAGUGGGGAAUAUUGCACAAUGGGCGCAAGCCUGAUGCAGCGACGCCGCGUGAGGGAUGACGGCCUUCGGGUUGUAAACCUCUUUCAGUAGGGAAGAAGCGAAAGUGACGGUACCUGCAGAAGAAGCACCGGCUAACUACGUG